rnacentral:rRNA from 1 species
UUUCCUACGGGGGGCAGCAGUGGGGAAUAUUGCACAAUGGGGGAAACCCUGAUGCAGCGACGCCGCGUGAGUGAUGAAGUAUUUCGGUAUGUAAAGCUCUAUCAGCAGGGAAGAUAAUGACGGUACCUGACUAAGAAGCUCCGGCUAAAUACGUGCCAGCAGCCGCGGUAAUACGUAUGGAGCAAGCGUUAUCCGGAUUUACUGGGUGUAAAGGGAGCGCAGACGGCAGGGCAAGUCUGAUGUGAAAGUCCGGGGCUCAACCCCGGGACUGCAUUGGAAACUGUCCGGCUAGAGUGCAGGAGAGG